rnacentral:tRNA from 1 species
UCCGGUGUCGCCCAGUCGGUAGGGCAACGGACUGUUAAUCCGUCAGGCGCUGGUUCGAGCCCAGCCACCGGAGCC